rnacentral:rRNA from 1 species
UGCAAGUCGAGCGGAGUGAUGGUGCUUGCACUAUCACUUAGCGGCGGACGGGUGAGUAAUGCUUAGGAAUCUGCCUAUUAGUGGGGGACAACAUUUCGAAAGGAAUGCUAAUACCGCAUACGUCCUACGGGAGAAAGCAGGGGAUCUUCGGACCUUGCGCUAAUAGAUGAGCCUAAGUCGGAUUAGCUAGUUGGUGGGGUAAAGGCCUACCAAGGCGACGAUCUGUAGCGGGUCUGAGAGGAUGAUCCGCCACACUGGGACUGAGACACGGCCCAGACUCCUACGGGAGGCAGCAGUGGGGAAUAUUGGACAAUGGGCGCAAGCCUGAUCCAGCCAUGCCGCGUGUGUGAAGAAGGCCUUAUGGUUGUAAAGCACUUUAAGCGAGGAGGAGGCUACUGAAGUUAAUACCUUCAGAUAGUGGACGUUACUCGCAGAAUAAGCACCGGCUAACUCUGUGCCAGCAGCCGCGGUAAUACAGAGGGUGCAAGCGUUAAUCGGAUUUACUGGGCGUAAAGCGCGCGUAGGCGGCUAAUUAAGUCAAAUGUGAAAUCCCCGAGCUUAACUUGGGAAUUGCAUUCGAUACUGGUUAGCUAGAGUGUGGGAGAGGAUGGUAGAAUUCCAGGUGUAGCGGUGAAAUGCGUAGAGAUCUGGAGGAAUACCGAUGGCGAAGGCAGCCAUCUGGCCUAACACUGACGCUGAGGUGCGAAAGCAUGGGGAGCAAACAGGAUUAGAUACCCUGGUAGUCCAUGCCGUAAACGAUGUCUACUAGCCGUUGGGGCCUUUGAGGCUUUAGUGGCGCAGCUAACGCGAUAAGUAGACCGCCUGGGGAGUACGGUCGCAAGACUAAAACUCAAAUGAAUUGACGGGGGCCCGCACAAGCGGUGGAGCAUGUGGUUUAAUUCGAUGCAACGCGAAGAACCUUACCUGGCCUUGACAUAGUAAGAACUUUCCAGAGAUGGAUUGGUGCCUUCGGGAACUUACAUACAGGUGCUGCAUGGCUGUCGUCAGCUCGUGUCGUGAGAUGUUGGGUUAAGUCCCGCAACGAGCGCAACCCUUUUCCUUAUUUGCCAGCGAGUAAUGUCGGGAACUUUAAGGAUACUGCCAGUGACAAACUGGAGGAAGGCGGGGACGACGUCAAGUCAUCAUGGCCCUUACGGCCAGGGCUACACACGUGCUACAAUGGUCGGUACAA